rnacentral:rRNA from 1 species
UACGUAGGGUGCGAGCGUUGUUCGGAAUUACUGGGCGUAAAGGGCUCGUAGGCGGCCAACUAAGUCGGAUGUGAAAUCCCCAGGCUUAACCUGGGAACUGCAUCCGAUACUGGAUGGCUUGAAUCCGGGAGAGGGAUGCAGAAUUCCAGGUGUAGCGGUGAAAUGCGCAGAUAUCAGGAGGAACACCGGUGGCGAAGGCGGGUCUCUGGGCCGUAACUGACGCUGAGGAGCGAAAGCGUGGGGAGCGAACAGG